rnacentral:rRNA from 1 species
GCUUGCUCCUUUAGGUUAGCGGCGGACGGGUGAGUAACACGUGGGCAACCUGCCCUGCAGACUGGGAUAACUUCGGGAAACCGGAGCUAAUACCGGAUAACACCGAAAACCGCAUGGUUUUCGGUUGAAAGGCGGCUUUUAGCUGUCACUGCAGGAUGGGCCCGCGGCGCAUUAGCUAGUUGGUGAGGUAACGGCUCACCAAGGCGACGAUGCGUAGCCGACCUGAGAGGGUGACCGGCCACACUGGGACUGAGACACGGCCCAGACUCCUACGGGAGGCAGCAGUAGGGAAUCUUCCGCAAUGGACGAAAGUCUGACGGAGCAACGCCGCGUGAGCGAAGAAGGUCUUCGGAUCGUAAAGCUCUGUUGUCAGGGAAGAACAAGUACCGUUCGAACAGGGCGGUACCUUGACGGUACCUGACGAGGAAGCCACGGCUAACUACGUGCCAGCAGCCGCGGUAAUACGUAGGUGGCAAGCGUUGUCCGGAAUUAUUGGGCGUAAAGCGCGCGCAGGCGGUUCCUUAAGUCUGAUGUGAAAUCUCGCGGCUCAACCGCGAGCGGCCAUUGGAAACUGGGGAACUUGAGUGCAGGAGAGGGGAGCGGAAUUCCACGUGUA